rnacentral:rRNA from 1 species
UUUUUAACAGGAUUAGAUACCCUGGUAGUCCACGCUGUAAACGAUGUCGAUUUGGAGGUUGUGCCCUUGAGGCGUGGCUUCCGGAGCUAACGCGUUAAAUCGACCGCCUGGGGAGUACGGCCGCAAGGUUAAAACUCAAAUGAAUUGACGGGGGCCCGCACAAGCGGUGGAGCAUGUGGUUUAAUUCGAUGCAACGCGAAGAACCUUACCUACUCUUGACAUCCACAGAAUUCGGUAGAGAUACCUUAGUGCCUUCGGGAACAGAGAGACAGGUGCUGCAUGGCUGUCGUCAGCUCGUGUUGUGAAAUGUUGGGUUAAGUCCCGCAACGAGCGCAACCCUUAUCCUUUGUUGCCAGCGAUUCGGUCGGGAACUCAAAGGAGACUGCCGGUGAUAAACCGGAGGAAGGUGGGGAUGACGUCAAGUCAUCAUGGCCCUUACGAGUAGGGCUACACACGUGCUACAAUGGCGUAUACAAAGAGAAGCGACCUCGCGAGAGCAAGCGGACCUCAUAAAGUACGUCGUAGUCCGGAUUGGAGUCUGCAACUCGACUCCAUGAAGUCGGAAUCGCUAGUAAUCGUAGAUCAGAAUGCUACGGUGAAUACGUUCCCGGGCCUUGUACACACCGCCCGUCACACCAUGGGAGUGGGUUGCAAAAGAAGUAGGUAGCUUAACCUUCGGGAGGGCGCUACCACUUUGAUCUGGCAACCC